rnacentral:misc_RNA from 1 species
GAUGAAGAACGUAGCGAAAUGCGAUACUUGGUGUGAAUUGCAGAAUCCCGUGAACCAUCGAGUCUUUGAACGCAAGUUGCGCCCGAAGCCAUUAGGCCGAGGGCACGCCUGCCUGGGUGUCACACGUCGUUGCCCCCCCAUCUACUCCUUCGGGAUUGCGGGGGGCGGAUGAUGGCCUCCCGUGCGCCUCGUCGCGCGGUUGGCCUAAAUGCCAAGUCCUCGGCGACGCACGCCACGACAAUCGGUGGUUGCGAAACCUCGGUUGCCUGUCGUGUGCGGUCGUCGCGCAUCGAGGGCUCGAAAAAAUUGCCGGGCUUCGGCUCGACUUUCAACGCGACCCCAGGUCAGGCGGGGUUACCCGCUGAAUUUAAGCAUAUCAAUAAGCGGAGGA